rnacentral:rRNA from 1 species
AUGCCGUCUCUAAACCCCAGGAGAGGUAAUCUUUGGGUGCAUUGUCCUGCCACCUCUCCUCCGUCGAUAGGUCAUCCCCCAUCCUCCUCUACUCGCUUUACUGGUAGGUCUUCAUUGUCCGUUGCUUCAGCUCUUCCAACGGUGGUGGCGAUAACGCUCAAUGAGGUCUUCUCAAUGAGAUUAUGGUUUGCAAGGUUUGUUGCACCGCAGCGACAACAAGUUCCCUAUAGCUUUGCGCACCUUCUGGCGCUAGGCACCCGAGGCGGCAUUCUCGUGCUAUGGGACGAGGGUUACUCCAGGUCUCCAAUGUCCUGGCAGGACCUGGCUGAUACCUUCUGCCUUUUAGUCGACGUCAAGCUGCGAGAGUCCAUGGACCAAACGGAAUUCAAGAUCACCGUUGUUUACAACUCCCUAUCAAACUCUGUGUCUGAUCACUGCCCCUUGUUGCUAGCUUGCGGUUGGGGUCCUGAGAAACCUAGACCUUUCAAGUUCAAGAGCUUCUGGAUGCGUUUGCCUGGGUUUAUGGUGGUGGUGCAAAAUUCUUGCUUACUCGACCUCGGUCAGUCACUAGCUCUCAUAUUCUCAGACCCUAAUAUCCGGUUGCCAUAUAUAAUAAGAAUGCCAGUGAUCCUUCCCGUUCCUCAGCCGUUUGGGAUUCCUGGCCGUCGGAUCGGCUGGCUUGAUCGGAUCUGGGCCGUCGGAUCGACCCCUGGAGCGACCUUUUUCACCUCGACCGUGCCACCGCGUGUAAAUAGCCUGCCCCGCCGGGGGCAUUUUCUUCAUUUCACUCGCACGGGUAUAAAAGGCAGCCAUGCCCGUGGUGAAACCCUAGCCGCCUCGCUCCCUUUCUCGCGCGUCGCCGCCUGCCUCCUCUCCUUCCCGCGACCCCGCACCACGUCUUCUCCCCGCCGCCGCCCGGCCGCCUCGCACCAGGCGCCCACUCGCCCCGCCGCUGCCCGACCUCCUCCCCACCCGUGCCUCCCUCUCUCUCUCUCCUUCCAAACCCUAGAUCACCUCCCUGCCCCGUCCCCGUCGCCGAGGAGGAGCGCCUCCGGGGAGCAGCAAAAGGAGGAGGGGCACGCGGCGGCGGCUACGAUGGGCGCGGCCCCGCCGUCCCGCCCUGCCCGCCGUGGCUACCUGCCCCGUCCCCGUCGCCGAGGCGGAGCUCGCGCUCGGGGAGGACGAGGAGACGGCCGCCUCCGGGGAGCAGCAGAAGGAGGAGGGGCGCGCGGCGGCGGCGACGAUGGGCGCGGCCCCGCCGUCCCGCCCUGCCCGCCGUGGCUGCCAUGGACGAGCUCGAGCUCGAUUGGGGAUCAAGGGGCCGCCCCGCCCGUCCCGCUCUCCAUGGCCAUGGCCAUGGCCGAUGACCGCGGCCCCGCUCGCUGCGGCGGCCAUGGACGAGCUCGAGCUCGAUGGGGGAGCAACGGGGAGAGGAAUAUCGCAAUGGCUGACAAAGAGCUUCAGGUUCAUGGUUCACCAGGUUCUGCUGGCUCCACUAACAGUUGCCUGCAUGCACUUGCACAGGAGAGGCUCACACCGAGGGAGGGCUAA